rnacentral:rRNA from 1 species
UGCAUAUCAAAAAGCGGAGGAAAAGAAACCAACCGGGAUUGCCUUAGUAACGGCGAGUGAAGCGGCAAAAGCUCAAAUUUGAAAUCUGGUACCUUCGGUGCCCGAGUUGUAAUUUGGAGAGGGCAACUUUGGGGCCGUUCCUUGUCUAUGUUCCUUGGAACAGGACGUCAUAGAGGGUGAGAAUCCCGUGUGGCGAGGAGUGCGGUUCUUUGUAAAGUGCCUUCGAAGAGUCGAGUUGUUUGGGAAUGCAGCUCUAAGUGGGUGGUAAAUUCCAUCUAAAGCUAAAUAUUGGCGAGAGACCGAUAGCGAACAAGUACAGUGAUGGAAAGAUGAAAAGAACUUUGAAAAGAGAGUGAAAAAGUACGUGAAAUUGUUGAAAGGGAAGGGCAUUUGAUCAGACAUGGUGUUUUGUGCCCUCUGCUCCUUGUGGGUAGGGGAAUCUCGCAUUUCACUGGGCCAGCAUCAGUUUUGGUGGCAGGAUAAAUCCAUAGGAAUGUAGCUUGCCUCGGUAAGUAUUAUAGCCUGUGGGAAUACUGCCAGCUGGGACUGAGGACUGCGACGUAAGUCAAGGAUGCUGGCAUAAGUUCUGUAGGUG